rnacentral:rRNA from 1 species
UACAGAGGUCUCAAGCGUUGUUCGGAUUCAUUGGCGUAAAGGGUGCGUAGGCGGCGCGGUAAGUCGGUGUGAAAUCUCGGGCUUACUCCGAAACUGCAUUCGAUACUGCCGUGCUUAAGGACUGGAGAGGAGACUGGAAUUACGGUUGUAGCGGUGAAAUGCGUAGAUAUCGUAAGGAAGACCAGUGGCGAAGCGGGUCUCUGGACAGUUCCUGACGCUGAGGCACGAAGGCCAGGGAGGCAAACGGA